rnacentral:rRNA from 1 species
CCUACGGGUGGCAGCAGUGAGGAAUAUUGGUCAAUGGACGAGAGUCUGAACCAGCCAAGUAGCGUGAAGGAUGACUGCCCUAUGGGUUGUAAACUUCUUUUAUAUGGGAAUAAAACGUUCCACGUGUGGGAUUUUGUAUGUACCAUAUGAAUAAGGAUCGGCUAACUCCGUGCCAGCAGCCGCGGUAAUACGGAGGAUCCUAGCGUUAUCCGGAUUUAUUGGGUUUAAAGGGAGCGUAGGUGGAUUGUUAAGUCAGUUGUGAAAGUUUGCGGCUCAACCGUAAAAUUGCAGUUGAAACUGGCAGUCUUGAGUACAGUAGAGGUGGGCGGAAUUCGUGGUGUAGCGGUGAAAUGCUUAGAUAUCACGAAGAACUCCGAUUGCGAAGGCAGUUCACUGGACUGCAACUGACACUGAGGCUCGAAAGUGUGGGUAUCAAACAGGAUUAGAUACCCCAGUAGUC